AUGCACGGUUGCCGCAGGUGGCUCCAGAUCGACAGGAAUAGGAAUCCAAGCCUUCCCGACGCUCAAGAAUCCAAGGGAGGCCGUGCGGCGUGUAAAAAUAAUGGCCGCUCCCUCCACAGGUUACCGCAAAGAGAUGUGGUCGACUGCGUUGCUUGGCACUAUGAAAAGUCUGGAAUCUUCACAGUAAAGAGCGCCUAUAUGCUUGCAAUGGCCCAGAAGGGAACCGGUGAACAAACAUCAAUUUCAACAGCAGGCAUUGAUGAUCGAAGCAGUUGGGACCUGAUUUGGAAAGCGAAUGUGCCGGAGAAAGUCAAAAUCUUUGCAUGGAGAGUGGCCACCAACACCAUAGCAACUAAGGUGAACAAAUGGAAACGCACGUUGGCGUCUGACAAUAUGUGUGACAUCUGCGGUCAUUCAGAUGAAACCGAGUACCAUGCCGUGGUGGCAUACACCAAAAGCAGAGCCCUGCGACAAGAGAUGAGGAAACAAUGGAACUUACCCAAGGAACAGGCAUUUUGGCACAUUGGUGUGGACUGGCUCCAAACGCUGCUGAACCAAUGUGAUGCAGAUACCCGGAUUAAGAUACUCAUGCUCUUAUGGCGGGCUUGGCACCUCCGGGAGAACAUAGUGCAUGGUGAUGGAAAAGAGCAUAUCCUGGGCUCGGUGGCCUUUCUAAGUAAGUAUGAGCAGGAACUCAAGCUGGCAUUAGACAAGAAUAACUCCCUAGAACCCAACUAUGGGCUGAAUCUGUAUGGUGAUCUCAGACCGCAGGUGCCAGUAACAGUUCAGACAAGUUGGGUACUGGCGCCGCCUGGGGUGGCCAAACUUAACACAGACGCGGCCUUCGAAGCACAGACCGGUGUGAGCGCAUGCGGAGCCAUAGCCAGGAAUAAUCAGGGCCAGAUAUUCUUGUCAAUGGGAUGCAACAUGAAUCAGCCGAGGAGGUUGAAUGUCUGGCCUUACUUCACGGCCUGCGGGAAUUUGGAAAAUGCUAUAAUGGGCCAAUACAGAUCGAGGUAG
rnacentral:rRNA from 1 species